rnacentral:rRNA from 1 species
GACGAACGCUGGCGGCGUGCUUAACACAUGCAAGUCGAACGCUGAAGCUUGGUGCUUGCACUGGGUGGAUGAGUGGCGAACGGGUGAGUAAUAAGUGAGUAACCUGCCCUUGACUCUGGGAUAAGCCUGGGAAACUGGGUCUAAUACUGGAUACGACAUGUCACCGCAUGGUGGUGUGUGGAAAGGGUUUUACUGGUUUUGGAUGGGCUCACGGCCUAUCAGCUUGUUGGUGGGGUAAUGGCCCACCAAGGCGACGACGGGUAGCCGGCCUGAGAGGGUGACCGGCCACACUGGGACUGAGACACGGCCCAGACUCCUACGGGAGGCAGCAGUGGGGAAUUUUGCACAAUGGGCGGAAGCCUGAUGCAGCGACGCCGCGUGAGGGAUGACGGCCUUCGGGUUGUAAACCUCUUUCAGCACGGAAGAAGCGAAAGUGACGGUACGUGCAGAAGAAGCGCCGGCUAACUACGUG